GAUGAACGCUGGCGGCGUGCCUAAUACAUGCAAGUCGAGCGAACAGAUGAGGAGUUUGCUCCUUUGACGUUAGCGGCGGACGGGUGAGUAACACGUGGGUAACCUACCUAUAAGACUGGGAUAACUUCGGGAAACCGGAGCUAAUACCGGAUAAUAUUUCGAACCGUAUGGUUCGAUAGUGAAAGAUGGCUUUGCUAUCACUUAUAGAUGGACCUGCGCCGUAUUAGCUAGUUGGUAAGGUAACGGCUUACCAAGGCAACGAUACGUAGCCGACCUGAGAGGGUGAUCGGCCACACUGGAACUGAGACACGGUCCAGACUCCUACGGGAGGCAGCAGUAGGGAAUCUUCCGCAAUGGGCGAAAGCCUGACGGAGCAACGCCGCGUGAGUGAUGAAGGUCUUCGGAUCGUAAAACUCUGUUAUUAGGGAAGAACAAACGUGUAAGUAACUGUGCACGUCGUGACGGUACCUAAUCAGAAAGCCACGGCUAACUACGUG
rnacentral:rRNA from 1 species